UAAAAUCGGAUUUUUGUUUUAGAUUUUAAUGUGAAACUUAAAUACAAGUUGACCAGAAAAAAAUCUUAAAUACACGUAGGAUAGAGUGGAACGUGAGGUGUUUGAACAUUUUUACAGUGGGUAAUAUAAUAAAUUAUUUUGGUGCACUAAAAGUAAAUUCAAUAAAAAAGUAAUAUAUUUAUGUUAAUCCAACGGCUAGUAUUUAUUGGAUUGUGGUAAACAACGGCACAAUGUUGGGAGUGAUGCAAAAAUGGACAUUGGGACUGUUGCAAAAAAAAAGAAAACUGGGGUCUAUUUAUAUUUGUUAUCAGAGAGGAUGAAUCAAUUAUUUCAUUUCUCUUCCUUCUUCAGAUUAUUUCUCCGAUUACUUGCGGCAAAGAAAAGAUUUAGCCGGAGAUGGAGUGCUUAAGCUUUUAGAGAAGAGUUCGUACGGCUCAAUGUUGUUCACAUCAGUGAUAACUAACUCCAGUCGUCGGGAUAAAGAGUUGCUUGAAAAGGAGACGAUUCCCAUGGAAACAGAGUCUAGGACGGAGACAAAUCUGCUAGUGGAAAGGCGAAUGAUGUUAAUAAUGCAAAGAAGAUCAAAGCUUAUAUGGACAAAGUCUACACGGGUACGUACGCUCCUCUUUUCUCAAACUUUUUUAAAUAACCAUAAACUGAUUUUGUAAAGUUAUUUUCACUACAAUGUUAAAAAAAACUUUCAAUCUUGGGGGAAAAUUUCUAUAUUAUUUGGUUGAUAAUGAAAACUUAAUGUGUAAUUUGUGAAAAGUAUUAGGAGUAACAUCCGGUCAGUGAUAGUUAGAGAUUGUAUAUUUCUAACAUCCGGUUAGCGAUUGUAUAUUUCUUUUGUCUUGGCACUUAUGAUCAUUUAGUUCUUCGUAAUCAAUCUCCUAAUGAAGCAAUUUUCCCUCUUGUUUUUUUUCUAAAAUCAACAUCACAUUUGCUUUCUUGUUUUGUGUUUCUUACUUGCUUUUAUGUUUAUGAUUCCUUUGAUUUUUCUGCUUGUUUUAACUUUCUUCUUGUGUUUGUUGCUUUUACUGGAUAAGAGAGAAAUCUGCUAGUGGAAAAGCGAAUGAUGUUAAUAAUAUAAAGAGGAUCAAAGCUUAUAUGGACAAGGUUGAGCUAUAGAGCAUUCAAACAUAUGUGUUGAUAAGUCUGUGUUGGAUGAGCAUCUCUCAUCCCCUCUGCUUCCGAGACCAUCAACCAUCUUCUUCAGCAAGAUGAAAGGUAACACUAUUACCGCUAUCUUGCAUAAGAAGCCACUGAACACAGUCUUUGAAAGCCUAUGAGAUUGUCACUACUGCUGCUGAGGCUAAACUUCCUCCUACACAUCCUGUCAGAUUGGGGUUGGCCUUGAACUUCUCUGUCCUCUACUACGAGAUUAUGAGCUCACCUUAAAGGUUUUUAGAGAUUGUUUAGUUACUAAAAAGUAAACCUUAGAAGACUCAAUAUAUUAUUUUUUAAUUCAAAAAAAAAAAAAUAUAUAUAUAUAUAUGUUGAAUAAAUAGUGAAAUGUAGAAUGUAGAAAAUAUAUAUAUAUGUAUGUUGUACUCUGCUUUGACCGUUUGAGUGUCCUGAUGCAUGUCUCAGACACUGUUUUUCUUGUUUGUAUUUUGAAACUCAUUGCUGUCUUUUGUCCACCCAAUUGCUCUACUUUUAGACCAUUUGUCAUGGAUCCAAAUAUAAAGUGAUAAUCAAGCUUGCAUUU